UGUAAGCGUAUACCAAAGUUGUUGCAGUUAAAACGCUCGUAGUCGGAAUUUGGCAGUUCCGGAAGUGUGCACGUCGUGUGCGCACUUUGCGGGGACUGCUUUUGUGGUCUUGCGUAGGAUGAGGCAAUUUCAUUAGUGAACGUCCUCACGCAACCACUCUUUACUGUGAGAAAAUCAGAGUGCUCAAAGCAGGCAUUUGCCGUGAAUGUAUUAGCAUGGAAUAAUAGAAUAGGACUCGGUUCUAUUUUGUUGGUUUGUUGGGACUGAGUAAUGAUUAAGAGGGACAGUUGGGGGCAUUUGUAUUCCGGCGCUAGAGGUGAAAUUCUUAGAUUGCCGGAAGACAAACUGCUGCGAAAGCGUCUGCCAAGGAUGUUUUCAUUGA
rnacentral:rRNA from 1 species